UGGAAGUCAGGGGAGGCAGAGAGACCCUGGAAACGGGUAGGGAAGGAUGUAGGUCGGCAGCUGCUUUUCACUAGCGGGGCGCCAAUCGUUGAAGGAGCUUGGGGUCUGACCUACAAGGAAUGAUGAAGCCCCCGCUCCCUGGCUCCAGGGCUCCCUGCAAAGGUGAGAUGAGGCAGGAAGCAGCUGUGGUGACUGGAUUUCUUAGGCGAUGGUUUCCAAAAUGGGGCAAACAUCUGGCUCACCGAGGGGCCUCGUGAAGACGACAGAUUUCUGAGAUUUUUGACUCACUGAGUCCAGAGGGGAGCCAAGAUCCUAGGAUCUGGCCAAGCUUUCCAGGCAAUUCUGCUGUCACUGCUCUGAAGAGCUGCAUGAGAUGAGAUGGUACAGGCACUCUGCUUGCCAGGACAGGGCAGGUUGGACCCGGGGCUGGCGGCGGCUAGCCGAGUCCAAGGCAUUUGCUUAGCCAGUUAAUGGCUACUUGCAUCCCACUUCUUUUGAAAGAAGUGUACCCAGAAAGGUGUUUGAGCAAAACACCUGUGUUUUCCUGGACAAACCACUGGCCCCUAGCUGGAGACACUGUCUCCUCCCCACACACGUUCCCACCAGAGUGGGGAGCCCUCUUCCCAGACAGAACCUGCCAGAGGCCCUCCUCUCCUCCCAGCGCUCCAUCAGCCACUCGGGACACUGAGACAACACCACCUUACAAAGGCCACGUCCCGACGCCUCGUGCCCAGGCCCCAGGACGACAUUUGAUCUCUUCCUGGUUAAUGAGAAAAAAAAAUCCCCGAUUUCUGGCAGGUUCGGAAGCACAGAUCAGUUACACAAUAACGAACAAACAACCAGGGCAGAGGCUGUCGGCCCUGACGCCCACACCAAGGGGCGAGGCCGGGGUCUGACUGUGCCCCCGGAGCUGGUCGAUCCUGGACAGCCACAGAGAAGCGAGGCAGCUGGUCCUGGGAAGGAGGGGGAUUCGAGGUCCUGGGAAGCCCGAUGGACCGCAGUUUCUACCUUCGGACUCUCGUGAGAACCCUGUUUCUUAGAUCAGCUCCUCCUUCUCUUGAGCUGGCUCGCAAGGGGCCCCGCUGCCUGCUGAUAAGAACUGAGAAGUGAACACAGUGAGGUGGUUGUCUCCAUUUCUAGAUCUGGGCAAGAACGGGGGCAAGGGAAUACACUGAGAGAAAGGAGCCCGAAAAGACCAUCGGUGCUGGGUCAGGGGAAGAAGAAGCCUGACGGGGAUGGGAGAAUGUGAGCUCGUCCUGGAGAUUCCUAUCGCAUUUCCCUGAAUGGGGGGCCAUCAUUAGCUACUGGGAAGCAAUCCAUGUGAAGGACACAACUGCGUCUUCUACAGUUGUACAGCUAAAGAGACUGUCCUUCACGCACAGUAUAAACAAAGGAGACGCUCAUCUCAGGGCGGACCACGAUCCCUACCCGUUACAUAAAAUAGAAAAAAUUAUAUGAUA